CAGUCGAGCGGAACGAGUUAUCUGAACCUUCGGGGAACGAUAACGGCGUCGAGCGGCGGACGGGUGAGUAAUGCCUAGGAAAUUGCCCUGAUGUGGGGGAUAACCAUUGGAAACGAUGGCUAAUACCGCAUGAUGCCUACGGGCCAAAGAGGGGGACCUUCGGGCCUCUCGCGUCAGGAUAUGCCUAGGUGGGAUUAGCUAGUUGGUGAGGUAAGGGCUCACCAAGGCGACGAUCCCUAGCUGGUCUGAGAGGAUGAUCAGCCACACUGGAACUGAGACACGGUCCAGACUCCUACGGGAGGCAGCAGUGGGGAAUAUUGCACAAUGGGCGCAAGCCUGAUGCAGCCAUGCCGCGUGUUGAAGAAGGCCUUCGGGUUGUAAAGUACUUUCAGUCGUGAGGAAGGCGGCGUCGUUAAUAGCGGCGUUGUUUGACGUUAGCGACAGAAGAAGCACCGGCUAACUCCGUGCCAGCAGCCGCGGUAAUACGGAGGGUGCGAGCGUUAAUCGGAAUUACUGGGCGUAAAGCGCAUGCAGGUGGUUUGUUAAGUCAGAUGUGAAAGCCCGGGGCUCAACCUCGGAAUAGCAUUUGAAACUGGCAGACUAGAGUACUGUAGAGGGGGGUAGAAUUUCAGGUGUAGCGGUGAAAUGCGUAGAGAUCUGAAGGAAUACCGGUGGCGAAGGCGGCCCCUGGACAGAUACUGACAUCAGAUGCAAAGCGUGGGGAGCAACAGGAUAGAUCCCUGGUAUCCACGCCGUAACGAUGUCUACUUGGAGGUUGUGCCUUGACCGUGGCUUCGGAGCUAACGCGUUAAGUAGACCGCCUGGGAGUACGGUCGCAAGAUUAAACUCAAUGAUUGACGGGGCCGC
rnacentral:rRNA from 1 species